CCUCUGUGACAUCUUACAUUAAUGGGGUUUUAUAUGGAACUUGUGCUUUCUAAGUUUAACCAAUGCCUCCUGUAUGAAAUGUUUUUUUUCCUCAUUUUUAUUUUGGGUUGACAUAAACCUAGAAUAGGAAAUAGGAACACUUCAAAUUUCUUCCUUGUUUUUGUUAUUUUAAAAACAUGCCAUUUACCUUUAGGUUCAACUGAAAAAGACGUUUAUGAAAUCUUUGUACAUAAAAAUAUGUUCACACUGAUUGAAUAGCUCCUGUCAUUACUCUGUUAUUACAAAAUAUGUCCACAAUCAUACAGUUAGAAAUUGUUGAAUGAUCCCAAGUUGAACCGAAAGUGAAAGUGGAAAACCCCGCGGGAAAGGACUUCGAUCCUUGUCUUUUAAAUGCUUGAAAUGGUGAACUAUAAGCUUUUUAAUAAGCUUGUCUGACUGAUAUUGGAAAUUAUCCUAUUUGUGUGUCUUUUAAGCACUAAAGACUGGAUUUGAAAUAAUUCAUUAAAUAAUGUUUAAAGCCAGAAAUAAC
rnacentral:lncRNA from 1 species